AGGGGGACCACCCUCUAAGCCUAAGUACUCUUCAGUGACCGAUAGUGAACAAGUACCGUGAGGGAAAGGUGAAAAGAACCCCUAUUAGGGGAGUGAAAUAGAACCUGAAACCGUAUGCCUACAAACAGUCAAAGCUCUUUUUAGAGUGAUGGCGUACCUUUUGUAUAAUGGGUCAGUGACUUAAUUUAUCCAGCAAGCUUAAGCCGAUUAGGUGUAGGCGUAGCGAAAGCAAGUCUUAAAUGGGCGAUUAGUUGUAUGAAUUAGACCCGAAAACGAAUGAGCUUACCAUGAGCAGGUUGAAAGCAGGGUAACACUUGCCGGAGGACCGAACCAGUUGACGUUGAAAAGUCUUUGGAUGAUUUGUGGUAAGGGGUGAAAGGCCAACCAAAUUCGUAGAUAGCUGGUUUUCCGCGAAAACUAUUUAGGUAGUGCGUUGAAUAAACAUACUUUUGGAGGUAGAGCACUAAAUGGGCUAGGGGGUAGAAAUACCUACCAAACCUAAUAAAACUCCGAAUGCCAAAAGUAAUUCCUCAACAGACAGACUGUGGGUGCUAAGGUCCAUGGUCGAGAGGGGAACAGCCCAGAUCACCAGAUAAGGUCCCUAAAUCAUGAUUAAGUGUGAAAGGAUGUGGAGAUUCCUAAACAGCCGGGAGGUUGGCUUAGAAGCAGCCAUCCUUUAAAGAUAGCGUAACAGCUCACCGGUCUAAUAGAGUUUCUGCGCCAAAGAUGUAACGGGGCUCAAAUCAUGUACCGAAUCUGUGGGUGUGUAAAGUUUUCGGACUUUGCACGCGGUAGCGGAACGUUCUGUAAGCCUGCAAAGGUGUACCCGCGAGGGACACUGGAGUAUCAGAAGUGCGAAUGCUGACAUAAGUAACGAUUAACAGAGUGAAAACUCUGUCGCCGAAAAUCCAAGGUUUCCUGCGCAAGGUUAAUCCGCGCAGGGUUAGUCGGCCCCUAAGACGAGGGCGAAAGCCGUAGUCGAUGGGAACAAGGUUAAUAUUCCUUGACCAGAUGAGAGUGACGGAUCUUGUAAAUUGUAAGUUCUUAAUGGAUUGAACUUGCCGUAAAAAGGUCCCAGGAAAUAACCUCAUCAUAGACCGUACCCUAAACCGACACAGGUGGAUUAUUAGAGUAUAAUUAGGCGCUUGAGAGAAUGAUGUUGAAGGAACUCGGCAAAAUGCCUCUGUAACUUCGGAAGAAAGAGGACCUAUUUAAAGGCAACUUUAUUUAGGUGGCACAAGCCAGGGAGAAGCGACUGUUUAUCAAAAACACAGGACUCUGCUAACACGAAAGUGGAUGUAUAGGGUCUGACGCCUGCCCGGUGCUGGAAGGUUAAUAUGGUUGGUGCAAGCUAACUGUUGAAGCCCCGGUAAACGGCGGCCGUAACUAUAACGGUCCUAAGGUAGCGAAAUUCCUUGUCGGGUAAGUUCCGACCUGCAUGAAUGGCGUAACGAUUUCUCCGCUGUCUCCAACAUCAACUCAGUGAAAUUGAAUUCUCCGUGAAGAUGCGGAGUUCCCGUGGUUAGACGGAAAGACCCCGUGCACCUUUACUACAACUUUACAUUGGUAUUAAGAGUGACAUGUUUAGCAUAGGAGGGAGACUUUGAAGUGGUGGCGUCAG
rnacentral:rRNA from 1 species